UACAGAGGGUGCAAGCGUUAAUCGGAUUUACUGGGCGUAAAGCGUGCGUAGGCGGUUUGUUAAGUCGGUUGUGAAAGCCCUGGGCUCAACCUGGGAAUUGCAGUCGAUACUGGCAGGCUAGAGAACGGUAGAGGGAGGCGGAACUCCAGGUGUAGCGGUGAAAUGCGUAGAUAUCUGGAAGAACACCGAUGGCGAAGGCAACCUCCUGGGCCUGUUCUGACGCUGAGGCACGAAAGCGUGGGUAGCAAACAGG
rnacentral:rRNA from 1 species